CGCGCAGGCGCACUCGGCGCGCCGCCCGCGGUCACAUGAGAGCGUCCGGACGCCGGCGCAACUCACCUGGGCCCGCCUCGGCUGAGGCGUGAGUCUUUUCUCCGCAGACUGUAUUCUCUCCUUCCUCCCUGUACUUCGGUGGGUGGACAGAGCGCUUUUAUGAAAGUGUAAAAGUUAACUAUUUUGUGUAAAAGUAACUAUUUCUCCCCUCGAACUAUUUCCUCGCGGAAGUACUCUUGUUACUGCCACGUGCGCGAGUUUGCGACGACCUCAGGGUUAUUGUGAUCUGUGGUAAUUCUUUCACCCGGCCGCGGUGUACAGAUAGGAGUGCACGAUGAGCCUGGUAGGCAAGGCCCCAGCCAGUGUGCAGCUUAGUCAGGCAAGGACGCAGAGAGUAAGGUGCGCCAAAAGAGUAUGGUACAAAAAGCAGGGUGCUUGGCAUGUAGGAUAUUAGGCUCCCUUGGAAGAACUUAAAGCAAUAAAAAUAAAUAGGUAAUUAGAGGAAGCGUCUCUGAGAAGCUGAGCUUUAAAAGACCUGCAGUUUGAGAAGAUACUUGACAUUAGGAGAAAGAAAGAGGGGCACAGACCAAGGGGCAAAGGCCUAGGAGGCAAGCACUGCUCACCUUCAGGGAGGGAAAACAGUGUGACAAAAACUUAAAAAGCAAAGAGAGAAUGGGAUGAAGCCCAAACUGGUUCUGCUCAUCCCAUGACAGGCCAAUAAAUUGGGAGAUGAGGUAUUGGGGCAAGGAAUAACGACUUUAUUCAGAAAGCUGGCAAACCCAGAUAGACAACUAACAUCCUGGAGAACCAUCUUCCCCCAAGUCAGAAUUCAGACUCCUUAUACUAAAAAGGGGAGAAGUUGGUUGUUGCAAACUCAUUGGUGUUGGGAUCCCUUGUUCUUGCAAAUGUCCACGUAGGGUCAGGUCCUGGUGUUCCUGCAAACCUCCAAUAAGACAAAUGUUAUUUUCUAUCCUGCAAUUUUACAUCUUUAUAUGAAUGGACAAGUGUUAUACCCUUAAAGGUCAAAACCUUGAGAAUAGGCUAUCCUGUAUAUUUUAGGCUAUAGGCAACAUUCUUUCACAAAAGGUGCAGAAUCAGCAUGACUCAACACAGGGGAACAGAGCAGAGGGUUAAAGUCAAAGGAACAGAUCUAAUAAUGGAGUCAGACUUGUUCUUUUCUGUUAUAUAAACAGGCAUCAAAUCAUUCAGAAACUUGUAGGCCAAGUUAGAGAAUUUGUAUUGUAAAAUAAAUGGAAAGGAAGUUAGAAACGGCAUUUAAGCAAUAGUGACAUGAUACAAUUCAGACUUUUAAAAGGCUACCUUGUAUAUCAGUCUGAUAGGAUGUAGUGUGAGGUUUGCAGUAUGAUCACCUAUGAUAUAUUCCAGGCAAAAAUGUUUAACUUUACUUUGUCAGUUCUUUGCAUCUAACACAUACUUUAUGAGAAAUACAGGGGAGAGAAAAGCAAUCUAAAUGAUACUGCAAAAAGUAACCAAACCAAUCCCGAAGGUGGAACAUUCUGCAGGAUAACUGGCCCCAUCUCUUAAAUUUGAGGGAUGUAGAGUCUAGAUUGAAUCCUGAUUUGAACAGACCAUCUAUAAAAUGCAUUUUCAGGACAAUUGAAGAAAUUUGAAUAGAGAUGAACUGAAUAUGAGAUGAAAAUGUAUUGCCAUGGAAAAGUGGAGAUCAUUAACCCAAAAGAAUAAGUUACGAAACAUAAAGCUGGAGCAAAUGAAAAAUGAGAGAUGGAAAAUGGAAAGCUGGAAUUCCCACAGACCCCUCUCUUUCCUACCUCUGCCCCACAAGGUGUCACUAUUGAGACACAGAAGAGCUGCUGUGUCAAGACCGGUCACAAGAUGGCGCUAUUAAAACGGGCAGUUCUGGUGGUGUGAAAGCCCAAGCUAAGGAGUCCAUGCGGAUGGAAAGUGAAAAUGGCAGAAAAUGAAGAGGAUGGGUGUUUGCAUGUCAGCAGGGAGUUGCUUGCAUCUAAGUGUGAGCCUCUGUGUACGGUUUCCAGUGAAAAUAUUUGACCAUUGACGGGAAUGACCUAUGAUGGUACAGGACAGGUCAAAACUGAUACACCAAGGGUAGCAAAACAAGAAGACAGAAAAAAACCUGAUUCCUUGGUGAUAUUUUAAUUUUUCUAACUAGGAAGC